rnacentral:sRNA from 1 species
GUUAUUUUAAAGUUACCCGCCUUAGUUCUUCGAGAACUCCGUUAGGGACGAAAAUAUAGGUAUUUUCGUGAUGCUUCGUAAGGAAUAAACUCUACGGGGAACUAUUAAACAGGUCUUUAGGCGCGGCCAGUGUCGUUUCCAUUCAAAACCGUCCUAUAACAUUGGCUAGGAGACCAUUACCAGCGCAAGCUG